ACAGCAUUUGGACCGUCGGUCUACCGAGCCAUAUGAUCCGCUCGGUGGAAGAUCUUUCUUUCGUCGU
rnacentral:pre_miRNA from 1 species